rnacentral:lncRNA from 1 species
AGGUGACAUUAGAAAUCCGGAUCAUGUUAAAUCUAGUUUUUAAAUAUUGGCAACAAAUCCACUUGUUAAAAACUGCAAUGAUCAAACAUGUCCAUAGGUCAAAUCUGGCCAUAGGCCAACAGUCCAUGCUCUCCAGCUGGACAUGUCAAGGACCAAAUCUUCUCAGGCAACUGCUGAUCGAACCUCCAUCAAGCCUCAGGGACUGGGGCAAAAUAGGGUGUCUACCUAGUGGCCCACAGGCCACACAGGCUAUUCCAGAAUCUGGCCCUCAACAACGACUUGAGAAGGUCACCUCAAUUCCUUUCACUGAACCUUUUUUGUUUUGAGACAGGGUUUUGCCCUGUCACCCAGGCUGGAGUGCAGCAGCAGGAUCUCGGCUCACUUCAACCUCCACCUCCCAGGUUCAAGCAAUUCCCCUGCCUCAGCCUCCUGGGUAGCUGGGAUUACAGGCAUACACCACCACACCCAGCUAAUUUUUGUAUUUUUAGUAGAGACGGGGUUUCACCAUGUUGGCCAGGUUGGUCUUGAACUACUGACCUCAAGUGAUCUGCCCGCCUCAGCCUCCCAAAGUGCUGGGAUGAAAAGCAUGAGCCACCAAGCCCAGCCCUUUCACUGAACUCUUAAAUGGCCCUUUCCAGGCCAAAUAGCGUUGCCUGGAACCAUUUAGUACCAUGUACCAUGGUUCUCAGAUCCAGAAACAGGAUCCGAUCACCUAUGCAUUUUCUAAUACAUAAGCCCUAAGUUAUUUUAGGUCUAUAAAAACUAUACGCUAAGGUGGGGGUAAAAAAUCUCACAUCAAAUAUAAAAAAUUUAAGUCAUUAAAGGAGAUGAGGCAUUUGUAAAGAACUUUUAAAAAUAUCUUAAGAGCUGGAGGGGUCUUUUUGUUGGUUGGUUUGGGUUGGGUUUUAUUGGUUUGUGUUUAGAGUCUGGAGUAUUUGCUUUUUAAAAAGGCAGUGAAAGAAAAAAAACGAACCCCUUCCAAACACAUUUGUCAUUUUUAUAUACUAUAUCAUGCAUGUUUAUGCUGGCUACAUUAGGAACAAGCUUGAAUUACAACCCCCGGUUUACCUAAUGGAGUUCUGAAAAGCCGUCCAAUCUUCCUGGAAGAGGGAGUUGGGAGGAAUGUGGUCCAGUUUGCACUUCUUUCGUAUGGACUGGAGAGUGCUGGUGAAAUCAGACACAUACCUGCCGGGAAAGGGAAGAAAAUGGUAGGGAGGUCACCACUGAUUCCCCAACUCUAAAGAGACCUGGAAUUCUACAGCUCUGGACAAAUUGCUAAUGGCCUUGAGAGCAUCUUUAGAGGCUCCCACCGACGAGUGAAACUGCUUGUAAACCUCUGAACACAAAAAGUUCUUCUCUAUGUGGCAAGACUGUCUUCACCACCUGGUUGAGCAGUUUCUAAAAGAGAUGCCCAAGAGGAGAAGGAAGGAAUAAUCGUGAAGUUGACUCCAGGGAGCAACCAGGUGAGAGAUGAUGCUGAUAAAUCCCCCCUCAUCCAGAUAAGUACAUUUCUGUGAAAGCAGGUUUGAAGAACUGUUUAAACAUCACGGUCCCAUGGUAAUAACUGACUGUGACCUGGGAUAACGUAAGGAAGGUCAUGACAUCCAAGGUACCUCUGCAUCAUUCUCAUCCUCUAAAUUUAGAUUAAAUACCCGUGGCAAAAAGAUUAAAGUUUCACGGCUGGCAAGUGUCUGACUUUAAUGGGACAGACGCAUGAAAGUGGAUUCAAAGCCAGGAGAUCCUCCCUCACAGGCUGCGUUGUUUGCUCUCACUGUACACACAUACUUUUCCCUCACAGCAUCUAAAACACUGUAAUUAAACAGCUUGUUUAGACAGGGCAUGGUGGCUCACACCUGUAAUCCCAGCACCUUGGGAGGCUGAGGAAGGAGGAUCACUUGAGCUCAAGGAGUUCGAGACCUGCCUGGGCAACAGAGUGAGAUCCCAUCUCUAAAAAAAACAAAAAAAUUAGGCGGGUGUGGUAGCUCAUGCCUGUAAUCACAGCACUUUGGGAGGCCGAGGUAAGAGGACCACUUGUGCAUGGAAGUUCAAGACCACACUGGGUGACAUGGCAAAACUUUGUCUCUACAAAGAAUACAAAAAUUAGCCUGGCGUGGUGGCGCAUGCCUGUAGUCCCAGCUACUCAGGAGGCUGGGGUGGAAAGAUGGCUUGAGCCUAGGAGGUCAAGGCUGCAGUGGGCCAUGAGCACGCCACUGCACUCCAGCCUGGGUGGCAGAGCAAGACCCUGUCUCCAGAUAAAGAAAUAGCUUGUAUGAUGCUUAUUGCUGCUGCUAGACUUUAAGCUCUGGGAGAACAGAGUCUGUGCCUCAUACUUAUAUCCCCAGGAACUAGCACAGAGCUGGACAUAAAGGAGGGAGUCAUGUCCUCUGAAAGCUACGAAACCUGUGCCUCAUACUUAUAUCCCCAGGAACUAGCACAGAGCUGGACAUAAAGGAGGGAGUCAUGUCCUCUGAAAGCUACGAAACCUGUGACAUUUGCAUGCAUCACAAGAGGCCUUGCCGCUUGCCCCUCCCAAAACGAAGCUCUAAAUGAGGAAAGUGAAAUGUGAGGACCCAGGGCACAGCCCCAAAAGGUCAGUCCAUGCAGUGGAGACACAGGCCACUCAAUGAACCAACUGGAAGAAACGGCUUCAGGUCACUCCACUGACUGCAAAUGAUCCUGCUGCUCCCUUUACAGAGAGCUCGAUGCUUUCAGGUGGAAAGCUGCAAAACCCAGAGUACCACUGACAACACCUUCCCCUUGCACCAAGAGAGGUGACAGCUUUCUAGGGUUAUAAGUCCCAGGAAGGAGAGGGGCUGGCCUCAAGCACAAACUGACAGGGGAAUGUUAAGGAACAUGAUUGUGCUUUAGCCAUGGGAAGUUAAACAACCAUGUCACCACCUCUGCAACUAUGGCAAAUAUCCAUGUGCUCUGCAGAAAGAGCAGGUACACACUGCAGGAGAAGGAGUUUUGUUUAGCCACUAUUCUCAGGUAUGGUUAUAAGCAAAUGCUUUCUCUAUUUCAUUAGCUGUCAAUCCAGAAUUCUAAAUGGUUUGUCAUGAAAUCUCAGAGGAAAAGUGUAGCUUUCAUCACAUCAUUUUUGUUCCCAAACCCUCCAGCUGUUUCUCACAAUACACAUUUCCAAUUGUCAACCAUGUCAGAGUCACCGUGUUAGGGGCUUUAAUGAUAUGCUUUUGGUUAAUAUUCACAACCUCCUUGGAAAGGAGAUAUUGUCAUCAUCAGUUUACUCAGAGAGGAACACUACCAUCUCUAAGGUCCCCACUAGUAAGUGUCCAGAGCUCCCAUGCCCAUCACAGUCUUAAUACCCCUCCUUCUUGAACCACCGGUUGGCCACUAUACUCUAUGCUUCAUCCUAGUUCGAGUUAGGCCAACCUGCACCUGCCUUUCCUGCGUACCCUGUUCUCCUUGCCCCUGCCUCCCUUAAUACCCUUCCCCAAACCCUCCUCACUACUGAACAAUGUGCCAUUUGAACCCUGCUCAAGUUAGCUUCAACCUGAUUUCCCUGAUUUUAUAAGCAUCAGCUAUUUUGGUAACUUCAAAAUCUUCCCUUUUAGAGAAGAUGGCCUGGGUUUUCCAGAUAUACUUUUGUACAGUUUGAAUGCUUAAUAUGGAAAUGUAUUAUUUUGAUUUUUUUUUAUUUUUUAUUUUUUGAGACAGAGUUUUGUUCUUGUUGCACAGGCUGGAGUGCCAUGGCACAGUCUUGGCUCACUGCAAGCUCUGCCUCUUGGAUUCAGCAAUUUUUAUGUCUCAGCCUCCUGAGCAGCUGGGAUUACAGGCAUCCACCAUCAUGCCUACCUGAUUUUUGCAUUUUUAGUAGAGAUGAGCUUCGCCACGUUGACCAGGGUGGUUUCGAACUCCUGACCUCAAGUGAUCCACCUGCCUCAGCCACCCAAAGUGCUGGGAUUACAAGCGUGAGCCACCACACCCAGCCUGAUGUUUCUUUUUCUGCAGGAACACAUUCAGGCUCAUCCGGCCACACCAGAUGAUGUGUUCCUAUAGAAAUGCCUACGUGGAACUGCCCUGGGAGGUGCUGGAUGCCCGAUGGCAAUGCCAGGGAGCUCUGGGUCCAAGGAGCCUCCACAGUUCACAGAGGCAUGCUCAGUAUUUCUGGAACAAUCAGAGACAGGGCUUCACCAUGUUGGCCAAGCUGGUCUCGAACUCCUGAGUUUAAGCAAUCCACCUGUCUUGGCCUCCCAAAGUACUGGGAUUACAGGCGUGAUUCACCGCACCAGGCCAAAGGUCCUUUUUCUUGUUCAAAUAAACUUUGUUAAAUUUAACUUGUC